UUCCGCCUUGGCUCCGUGGCUCCGGCAUGGCGCCGUGCACGCUGCUGCCGCUGCUGCUGCUGCUGCUCCUCCGGUGCGCCGCCCCGGGGUCCCCCGAAAACUCGAGCUGGCCGGCCGUACCUCGCAACUAUACGCACGGGGGCCCCCCGGGCACAGGUCCCAUGCUGCUUCGUUUGUUCUACGUGAUCACCGGGCUCAGCGGCCUGAUCUCGCUCUACUUCCUCAUCCGGGCUUUUAGACUCAAGAAGACUCAGCGAAGGAGGUAUGGGCUUCUGACCAACACAGACGAGCAUGAAGAGAUGGCCUCCCUGGACAGCGAGGAGGAGACGGUCUUUGAAACCAGGAAUCUGAGAUGGUAGGAAGCACUUCACCAACAGGGCUCCAGGUCUAGCUCAGAGGCAGAAGCAGCUUCACCUGGAGUCCCCCAGUGCGAUCUGGGAGUGUGCAGCCACGGAAGCAGAUGUGGAGGGGACGUCAGGCUGCAAGGACAGUGGAGGGCGUGUUCCACGGGCUCGGAUGCCAGCUUCCUGGAGGGGGCCUGCACAGUCCGGACGCCGCCUGGGCCAGGACAGUCUGACCUCACCUCGCCGAGAGCAGCCCACAGACUUGAGGUCCCUGGAGCUGGACUGACGUGUGCUGCUCUGUCAUCCUGCCUCCCUUGAGGGACAAGGCCGCCCUCCGGGCGUGAUGGAGCAGACGGACCUUCCUGCUGCUUUAGGGACAAUAAAGAAGCAGUGGCUUUGUGGCUGACCUGAAACCCCCCCUGGACCCCACACCCAGGCGUCCCGGUGACGUGAGUGAGGGCUGUCAUUCCUGGCUGCCUAGGACACCCCCUGCCCGUGGGUGUCACGUGUUCCAGGGCUGCAGCGGUGGCCCUCUGCCUCAGGGUGUUGGCACCUGGCAGAGUUUCCCAGUAGCUUCUGGGCUGCGGUUCAGCAUUGGCCAUUCACCCUCCCUCUGUGGUCUAGCCUGGGAGGAGAGGGGGACCGGACACCUAAGGCACUUGCAGCCCGAGGUCAGCCUCAGUCUUCCCAGGCCACUGUUCUGUCCACUCUUUCUCGUCAUAACAACAAGUGGCCACCAGGUGGCAGCCGCGUGCCACCUAGCUUCCCCGGACCCCACCGCAAAUCUGCAAAUCGGCCCUCCAAAGAACCCUCCGACCUUUGUCCUCAUGGGGGCCUGAAUUUGUGGCCCAGCUCCUGUCCUAUGGACACCCAGUCUUCAUCCACUUCCGGGCCCCACUGACCUCCAGCUGGGCCGAGCGGGACCCCUGAGGCUGCCUGGCCGUCUGUUUCCGUCCCGUGGUCUGGAUGGAGAGCCUGGCCGAGCCCAUUCCUGUCUCUGCCUGUCCCCUCCAGUGGCUGGGUCCCUGCUCAGCCAGGCCUGCUGCCCCCAGGAAGCCUCUGCCGCCCCCCCCCCAGCCUGAACCCAGGGGAAGCCAGUGUUCCCGAGUCAUGGCUCUGGGGGCCCUGUGCCCCUUGGUCACUCUCCAUCUUUGUAUUGUGCCUGGUCCCCGGCCCCCCAGACUCUGUGAUCUGCGCCCCUGGUCCCACAGCUCAGCCAUUGCUGGAGCUUCAAAAGGCAGGGUGAUUAGUCUAAUGAGGUCAGGAGAGACCCAGGCCCCCGCCCCAGCCUCCGCGUGAGCGGGGAGGGUGGCCCCACCACCAUCCGCCUGUCAGCAGUCACUGCACCCCGGCAUUAGCGCGGAUAAUUGGCAGUUCCGUCAAGGUUAAUGCACUAUUAGCCGGCGCUCUGCACAGCUGAAAGCCAGGAGAGAGGCCUGUCAGGCGAGAUGGACGGCCUGGGGGCCGGGCCAGCCUGCGUGUGCACGGACAGUGAGUGUGCAUGCCUCGGGCGGCGCCCCGCACCAAACACACGCGCCCGGGCUUGAACUCAAGACACUGUUGCCGCUUGUACCCAUCCUAAGUCUGAGCCCUGGCCUGGCAGAGGCAAGGCAGGUGAGGGCGGUCGCUGCCGAGCCUCAGUUGAUUCCCGGAACGCGCAUGGUCAAGGGCGGAACUGACUCCUGUAAGCUGGCCUGUGACGGCUACGCCACAAUACGCAAAAAAUAAAGAUCCUGGAAGUGGGCAA